GAAGCAGGCCAGACCGCCGCUGGUGCGUUUCGGGGAAACCCGGCACUGGAGGAAGGUCCGGACUGCACAGAGCACCGUAGCAGCUAACGGCUGUCCACCGCGAGGUGAGGAUCAGAGCAACAGAGACGAGUCGAGGCGCGGGUGCGGCAACGCGCAAGCGGUGCCGCAAACCCCCUCUGGGGGUGGCCCGAGUCUCGGGUGAAACGGGCAAUCUCUACGGGCAGCAACACCAAAUAGGCCGGCAUCGAUGUGGCUCGCGGAGCCGGCGGGUAGGUGGCACCGAGCCGGGUGGGUGACCCCCGGCCCAGAUGAAUGGCGGUCACGGCGCGGCCUCGCAAGGGGCGGCGCCGCACAGAAUCCGGCCUAUCGGCCUGCUUCACAC
rnacentral:RNase_P_RNA from 1 species